rnacentral:rRNA from 1 species
UUUAAAAUUAAUUUUUAAUACUAAAUUAUUUUAAGUUAAAUUCUUUAAAAUUAAAAAAUUUGGCGGUUUUUUAUUCUAUUUAGAGGAAUUUGUUUUUUAAUUGAUAUUACUCAUUUUAUCUUACUUAAGUUUGUUUUUCAUUUUAUAUACCGUUGUUAUAAGAAAAUAUUAUUUAAUUUUAAAAUUUUCUAAAAAUUUAAUUAAAUUAUUAUAUCAAAUCAAGGUGUAAAUUAUACUUAAGAAAAAAUUAAUUACAAUAAAAUUAUUUAUAUGAAUUUAAAAUUGAAAAAUUUUUUUGAAGGUGGAUUUAAAUGUAAAUUUAAAAAUUAAAUUAAAUUGAUAACAGUUUUAAAGAAUGU